rnacentral:rRNA from 1 species
UACGUAGGGUCCGAGCGUUGUCCGGAAUUAUUGGGCGUAAAGGGCUCGUAGGCGGUUUGUCGCGUCGGGAGUGAAAACACGGGGCUUAACCCCGUGCCUGCUUCCGAUACGGGCAGACUAGAGGUAUGCAGGGGAGAACGGAAUUCCUGGUGUAGCGGUGAAAUGCGCAGAUAUCAGGAGGAACACCGGUGGCGAAGGCGGUUCUCUGGGCCUUACCUGACGCUGAGGAGCGAAAGCGUGGGGAGCGAACAGG